UGCUGCAGUUCUCUCUACAGAAUCGGUUGCUACUCUUGAGGUGGUACACUGGUGUUGCUGCAGUUUGUUUCACGAAUCCGCUAUUUAAUUGAGGAUACAAUGGGGAUCUGUUUCAGUGAGUAUAUAUUGGAUGCUAAAUCACAGUUACAUGCUAAUGGAAUCAUUAAGAUGGAAAAGAAAUCGUUGACAUGUGCUUCGACCGAAUCACAAAGCUUGCUUUACGAAACAAGAAGGAUGCAACUCCUAUAAUGCAGAUUGCUGACACAUUGUUGAGGGAUCAAUGGAAGUUCUGAUAAGAUGUUUUAAUACACCGAAAACCACAACAAGGCUGAAACAUUAUAUGAUCAAACUUCGGGGAAACCUCGAAAUGACUUGUUUCUUGGAAGUUGUUCUCUGCAUAAGAUGAUGAGAUUAAUUACAUAUUUGAUCAGUGGCUGUACUUACCUAAAUUUAUGUGUAAUGAAUUUGUGCAUUUGAAGGUGGAAUUCUUCAUGUCGAUCCCCCUAUUUUCUUUCUCACUUUCAAACUGGGAUUAAGGUCUACUUGUUAAAGAAGUGGUAUAUAAAAGCUUGUUAUCCUUUUAUAAGGGAAGAUAUUAUGAGAAGCUUUGGAGCUAAGUUUUACAAUAGAGAAAUU
rnacentral:lncRNA from 1 species